rnacentral:pre_miRNA from 1 species
AAUAAACCAAUUUUUCACUUUUUACCUUCAAUUUUUGACUCUUGUCUUAUUCAAAAUUUUUUUGCGAUUGAUAUUUUUGUUUUUAUUAGAUGAUAAAUUAUGAAUAGUAUUUUACAUGUGACUAAAUUUUUUAAUUUUUUUAAAUAAGACUGAUGGUCAAACAUUCGACACGGAAACCGGAG